rnacentral:rRNA from 1 species
GCCUAAUACAUGCAAGUCGAGCGGACAGAUGGGAGCUUGCUCCCUGAUGUUAGCGGCGGACGGGUGAGUAACACGUGGGUAACCUGCCUGUAAGACUGGGAUAACUCCGGGAAACCGGGGCUAAUACCGGAUGGUUGUUUGAACCGCAUGGUUCAAACAUAAAAGGUGGCUUCGGCUACCACUUACAGAUGGACCCGCGGCGCAUUAGCUAGUUGGUGAGGUAACGGCUCACCAAGGCAACGAUGCGUAGCCGACCUGAGAGGGUGAUCGGCCACACUGGGACUGAGACACGGCCCAGACUCCUACGGGAGGCAGCAGUAGGGAAUCUUCCGCAAUGGACGAAAGUCUGACGGAGCAACGCCGCGUGAGUGAUGAAGGUUUUCGGAUCGUAAAGCUCUGUUGUUAGGGAAGAACAAGUACCGUUCGAAUAGGGCGGUACCUUGACGGUACCUAACCAGAAAGCCACGGCUAACUACGUGCCAGCAGCCGCGGUAAUACGUAGGUGGCAAGCGUUGUCCGGAAUUAUUGGGCGUAAAGGGCUCGCAGGCGGUUUCUUAAGUCUGAUGUGAAAGCCCCCGGCUCAACCGGGGAGGGUCAUUGGAAACUGGGGAACUUGAGUGCAGAAGAGGAGAGUGGAAUUCCACGUGUAGCGGUGAAAUGCGUAGAGAUGUGGAGGAACACCAGUGGCGAAGGCGACUCUCUGGUCUGUAACUGACGCUGAGGAGCGAAAGCGUGGGGAGCGAACAGGAUUAGAUACCCUGGUAGUCCACGCCGUAAACGAUGAGUGCUAAGUGUUAGGGGGUUUCCGCCCCUUAGUGCUGCAGCUAACGCAUUAAGCACUCCGCCUGGGGAGUACGGUCGCAAGACUGAAACUCAAAGGAAUUGACGGGGGCCCGCACAAGCGGUGGAGCAUGUGGUUUAAUUCGAAGCAACGCGAAGAACCUUACCAGGUCUUGACAUCCUCUGACAAUCCUAGAGAUAGGACGUCCCCUUCGGGGGCAGAGUGACAGGUGGUGCAUGGUUGUCGUCAGCUCGUGUCGUGAGAUGUUGGGUUAAGUCCCGCAACGAGCGCAACCCUUGAUCUUAGUUGCCAGCAUUCAGUUGGGCACUCUAAGGUGACUGCCGGUGACAAACCGGAGGAAGGUGGGGAUGACGUCAAAUCAUCAUGCCCCUUAUGACCUGGGCUACACACGUGCUACAAUGGACAGAACAAAGGGCAGCGAAACCGCGAGGUUAAGCCAAUCCCACAAAUCUGUUCUCAGUUCGGAUCGCAGUCUGCAACUCGACUGCGUGAAGCUGGAAUCGCUAGUAAUCGCGGAUCAGCUUGCCGCGGUGAAUACGUUCCCGGGCCUUGUACACACCGCCCGUCACACCACGAGAGUUUGUAACACCCGAAGUCGGUGAGGUAACCUUUUAGGAGCCAGCCGCCGAAGGUGG